GGGCACUCUGAGGAGACUGCCAGGGAUAACCUGGAGGAAGGCGGGGAUGACGUCAAAUCAUCAUGCCCCUUAUGAUUUGGGCUACACACGUGCUACAAUGGCGUAAACAAAGGGAAGCGAACCCGCGAGGGUGGGCAAAUCUCAAAAAUAACGUCCCAGUUCGGACUGCAGUCUGCAACUCGACUGCACGAAGCUGGAAUCGCUAGUAAUCGCGGAUCAGAAUGCCGCGGUGAAUACGUUCCCGGGUCUUGUACACACCGCCCGUCACACCAUGGGAGUCAGUAACGCCCGAAGUCAGUGACCUAACCGCAAGGGAGGAGCUGCCGAAGGCGGGACCGAUGACUGGGGUGAAGUCGUAACAAGGUAGCCGUAUCGGAAGGUGCGGCUGGAUCACCUCCUUUCUA
rnacentral:rRNA from 1 species